rnacentral:rRNA from 1 species
GGGGAAUAUUGCGCAAUGGGGGCAACCCUGACGCAGCCAUGCCGCGUGAAUGAAGAAGGCCUUCGGGUUGUAAAGUUCUUUCGGUAGCGAGGAAGGCAUUUAGUUUAAUAAACUAGGUGAUUGACGUUAACUACAGAAGAAGCACCGGCUAACUCCGUGCCAGCAGCCGCGGUAAUACGGAGGGUGCGAGCGUUAAUCGGAAUAACUGGGCGUAAAGGGCACGCAGGCGGUGACUUAAGUGAGGUGUGAAAGCCCCGGGCUUAACCUGGGAAUUGCAUUUCAUACUGGGUCGCUAGAGUACUUUAGGGAGGGGUAGAAUUCCACGUGUAGCGGUGAAAUGCGUAGAGAUGUGGAGGAAUACCGAAGGCGAAGGCAGCCCCUUGGGAAUGUACUGACGCUCAUGUGCGAAAGCGUGGGGAGCAAACAGGAUUAGAUACCCUGGUAGUCCACGCUGUAAACGAUGUCGAUUUGGGGGUUGAGCUUUAAGUUUGGCGCCCGUAGCUAACGUGAUAAAUCGACCGCCUGGGGAGUACGGCCGCAAGGUUA